rnacentral:rRNA from 1 species
GACGAACGCUGGCGGCGUGCCUAAUACAUGCAAGUAGAACGCUCAGGGAGGAGCUUGCUUCUCCGGAUGAGUUGCGCGCGGGUGAGUAACGCGUAGGUAACCUGCCUGGUAGCGGGGGAUAACUAUUGGAAACGAUAGCUAAUACCGCAUAACAUUAGAUGUUGCAUGACAUUUGCUUAUAAGGUGCAAUUGCGUCACUACCAGAUGGUCCUUCGUUGUCUUAGCUAGUUGGUGAGGUAACGGCCCACCAAGGGGACGAUUCAUAGCCGGCCCGGGAGGGGUAACGGGCACACUGGGACCGAGACACGGGCCAGACUCCCAAGGGAGGCAGCAGGAAGGGAUCUUUGGGAAUGGACCGAAGUCCUACCGAGCCAAGCCGGGGGAGUGAAGGAGGUUCUUGGGUCGUAAAGAUCUGUUGUAAGGGAAGAACGAGUGGGGGAGUGGAAUGUUCACGCUGUGACGGUAUCUUACCAGAAAGCGACGGCUAACUACGUG